rnacentral:tRNA from 1 species
UGAGCAAAGACAGCAUCGUCCUGUCGGGCGUCUUCACAAAGUACCUGCAUUCAGAGAAUCACAACGGCCAGGCCGAUGUGAGAGUCCCUUUUGGGGCCUUAGCUCAGCUGGGAGAGCACCUGCUUUGCAAGCAGGGGGUCGUCGGUUCGAUCCCGACAGGCUCCACCAUGUUCGAGCUGUAUACCGAAGUCCCUUUCGAAGAGCCCGCACAUCCAUGUGCGUACUUUUUGAAAAAGCACUUUCGGGUCUGUAGCUCAGGUGGUUAGAGCGCACCCCUGAUAAGGGUGAGGUCGGUAGUUCGAGUCUACCCAGACCCACCAUUCUCUGAAUGACGCAUACAUUCGAUCUUUAUACGCAUCAGCACUGUGGCUGGUACGUGUUCUUUUAAAACUUGUGACGUAGCGAGCGUUUGAGAUGUUCUAUCAGACGUGUCGUGAGGCUAAGGCGAGAGACGCAAGUCUCUUUAUUGAUUGAGUCGUUAUAUUCGUAUCCGGGCUUUGUACCCCCGGGUCAUGUGUAACCCAAGGCAACUUGCGGUUAUAU